CCGGCGACCGGCGCACGGGUGAGUAACACGUAUCCAACCUUCCGGUUACUCGGGAAUAGCCUUUCGAAAGAAAGAUUAAUGCCCGAUGGUAUAACAAGUCUGCAUGGAGUUGUUAUUAAAGAUUUAUCGGUAACCGAUGGGGAUGCGUUCCAUUAGGCAGUUGGCGGGGUAACGGCCCACCAAACCGACGAUGGAUAGGGGUUCUGAGAGGAAGGUCCCCCACAUUGGAACUGAGACACGGUCCAAACUCCUACGGGAGGCAGCAGUGAGGAAUAUUGGUCAAUGGGCGAGAGCCUGAACCAGCCAAGUAGCGUGAAGGAUGACUGCCCCUAUGGGUUGUAAACUUCUUUUAUGCGGGAAUAACAAGCGGCACGUGUGCCGUUCUGCAUGUACCCGUAUGAAUAAGCAUCGGCUAACUC
rnacentral:rRNA from 1 species